GAUGAACGCUAGCUACAGGCUUAACACAUGCAAGUCGAGGGGUAACGAGAGGAAAGCUUGCUUUCCUUGUCGACGACCGGCGCACGGGUGAGUAACGCGUAUCCAACCUGCCCCCAACUAAGGAAUAACCUUGCGAAAGUAAGACUAAUACCUUAUAAUUUCCUCAGAUGUCAUCUGACGAGGACUAAAGAUUUAUCGGUUGUGGUUGGGGAUGCGUCUGAUUAGCUUGUUGGCGGGGUAACGGCCCACCAAGGCAACGAUCAGUAGGGGUUCUGAGAGGAAGGUCCCCCACAUUGGAACUGAGACACGGUCCAAACUCCUACGGGAGGCAGCAGUGAGGAAUAUUGGUCAAUGGGCGGAAGCCUGAACCAGCCAAGUAGCGUGCAGGAUGACGGCCCUAUGGGUUGUAAACUGCUUUUAUACAGGAAUAAAGUUAGCCACGUGUGGUUAUUUGUAGGUACUGUAUGAAUAAGGACCGGCUAAUUCCGUGCCAGCCGCCGCGGUAA
rnacentral:rRNA from 1 species